rnacentral:rRNA from 1 species
GAUGAACGCUGGCGGCGUACCUAACACAUGCAAGUCGAGCGAAGCACUUCACUUCGAAUUCUUCGGGAGGAGAAGAGUUGUGACUUAGCGGCGGACGGGUGAGUAACGCGUGGGUAACCUGCCUCACACAGGGGGAUAACAGUUAGAAAUGACUGCUAAUACCGCAUAAGACCACAGCACCGCAUGGUGCAGGGGUAAAAACUCCGGUGGUGUGAGAUGGACCCGCGUCUGAUUAGCUAGUUGGUAAGGUAAAGGCUUACCAAGGCGACGAUCAGUAGCCGACCGGAGAGGGUGACCGGCCACAUUGGGACUGAGACACGGCCCAAACUCCUACGGGAGGCAGCAGUGGGGAAUAUUGCACAAUGGGGGAAACCCUGAUGCAGCGACGCCGCGUGAGCGAAGAAGUAUUUCGGUAUGUAAAGCUCUAUCUGCAGGGGAGAAACUGACGGUACCUGACUAAGAAGCACCGGCUAAAUACGUGCCAGCAGCCGCCGUAA